AAUCAACGCUGGCGGCGUGCCUAACACAUGCAAGUCGAACGAGAAAGGGUAGCAAUACCUGAGUAAAGUGGCGCACGGGUGAGUAACACGUGACUAACCUACCCUGGAGUGGGGGAUAACUGAGGGAAACCUUAGCUAAUACCGCAUAAUACCUACGGGUCAAAGGAGCAAUUCGCUUCAGGAGGGGGUCGCGGCCGAUUAGUUAGUUGGCGGGGUAAUGGCCCACCAAGACAGUGAUCGGUAUCCGGCCUGAGAGGGCGCACGGACACACUGGAACUGAAACACGGUCCAGACUCCUACGGGAGGCAGCAGUGGGGAAUUUUGCGCAAUGGGGGAAACCCUGACGCAGCAACGCCGCGUGGAGGAUGAAGUCCUUCGGGACGUAAACUCCUUUCGAUCGGGACGAUAAUGACGGUACCGGAAGAAGAAGCCCCGGCUAACUUCGUGCCAGCAGCCGCGGUAAUACGAGGGGGGCGAGCGUUGUUCGGAAUUAUUGGGCGUAAAGGGUGCGUAGGCGGUUUGGUAAGUCUUAUGUGAAAUCUAUGGGCUCAACUCAUAGACUGCAUGAGAAACUGCCG
rnacentral:rRNA from 1 species